rnacentral:rRNA from 1 species
CAGCAGCCACGGGAAUACGUAGGGUGCAAGCGUUAAUCGGAAUUACUGGGCGUAAAGCGUGCGCAGGCGGUUAUAUAAGACAGAUGUGAAAUCCCCGGGCUCAACCUGGGAACUGCAUUUGUGACUGUAUAGCUAGAGUACGGCAGAGGGGGAUGGAAUUCCGCGUGUAGCAGUGAAAUGCGUAGAUAUGCGGAGGAACACCGAUGGCGAAGGCAAUCACCUGGGCCUGUACUGACGCUCAUGCACGAAAGCGUGGGGAGCAAACAGGAUUAGAUACCCGUGUAGUCCCUGUCUCUUAUAC